AGAACGUGGAGCGGAUUCGGAGGCAGCUGAAGAUCACCAAUGCUGGGAUGGUGUCUGAUGAGGAGUUGGAGCAGAUGCUGGACAGUGGGCAAAGCGAGGUGUUUGUGUCCAAUAUCCUGAAGGACACGCAGGUGACUCGACAGGCCUUAAAUGAGAUCUCGGCCCGGCACAGUGAGAUCCAGCAGCUUGAACGCAGUAUUCGUGAGCUGCACGACAUAUUCACUUUUCUGGCUACCGAAGUGGAGAUGCAGGUGGAUGAUCAAUCGGAUUGAGAAGAACAUCCUGAGCUCAGCGGACUACGUGGAACGUGGGCAGGAGCACGUCAAGACGGCCCUGGAGAACCAGAAGAAGGCGAGGAAGAAAGUCUUGAUUGCCAUCUGUGUGUCCAUCACCGUCGUCCUCCUAGCAGUCAUCAUUGGCGUCACAGUGGUUGGAUAAUGUCGCACAUUGUUGGCACUAGGAGCACCAGGAACCCAGGGCCUGGCCUUCUCUCCCAGCAGCCUGGGGGGCAGGGCAGAGCCUCCAGUCGGACCCCUUCCUCACACUGGCCCCUAUGCAGAAGGGCAGACAGUUCUUCUGGGGUUGGCAGCUGCUCAUUCAUGAUGGCCUCCUCCUUCAGGCCUCAAUGCCUGGGGGAGGCCUGCACUGUCCUGAUUGGCCGGGACACACGGUUUUGUAAAAAAUUAAAAAACAAAAAAAGAGCAU
rnacentral:lncRNA from 1 species